UGCAGGGCCAUGAGGUCCGAGUGGCUGGAGAUCCUCCAGAAGGGCAUCGCGUGCUGCAGGAGGGACACACAGACACGUGAGGACAGAGCACCCAGUGCCAGCCCUGCUGGCUCCUUUGGAAAUCUACUUCCAUGCUCACCCCCAUUUUCAAUAUCAUGGAAAAUGCCAGCUAACAUCUUAGCAUCACAUCUGUUUACAAUAAAAAUUCAAACCUUGGUAAUGGCAAUGUUGUGAAGCACGUGAACAAACCAAAGACAAGAAAAACAGGAAGAAACCAGAAGUUACAUCAUUCAUGAAGGGUGAAAAUGUGAUGAACUUUUAUUGCCCCAAAGCACUAUAACAUAAGUAUGCUCUUUAAGGAUGAAGAUGAAAUCCAAUUCAAAACUUGGCAUACAG